rnacentral:rRNA from 1 species
GUCCCUAUCUGUCGUGGGCGUUGGAUAUUUGAGAGGAGCUGACCUUAGUACGAGAGGACCGGGUCGGACGUACCUCCUGUGCACCAGUUGUUCUGCCAAGGGCAUAGCUGGGUAGCCGCGUGCGGUAUUGAUAAACGCUGAAGGCAUCUAAGCGUGAAGCACACCUCAAGAUAAGAUAUCCCACAGUUUCAAACUGGUAAGGUCACUUAUAGACUAUGAGUUUGAUAGGUCGGAGGUGUAAGCACAGUAAUGUGUUUAGCUGACCGAUACUAAUAGACCGAGGGCUUGAACUG